CGAACGCUGGUGGUAUGCUUAACACAUGCAAGUCGAACGAACGAAAGCGGAGCUUGCUCUGCUUGAGUUAGUGGCAAACGGGUGAGGAACACGUGGGAAUCUACCCAUUAGUACGGAAUAACCCUUGGAAACAAGAGCUAAUACCGUAUAUUCUCUACGGAGGAAAGAUUUAUCGCUAAUGGAUGAGCCCGCGCAAGAUUAGGUAGUUGGUAGGGUAAUGGCCUACCAAGCCGACGAUCUUUAGCUGGUCUGAGAGGAUGAUCAGCCACACUGGGACUGAGACACGGCCCAGACUCCUACGGGGGGCAGCAGUGAGGAAUAUUGGACAAUGGGCGAAAGCCUGAUCCAGCAAUACCACGUGAAUGAUGAAGGCCUUAGGGUUGUAAAGUUCUUUUAAUAGGGAAGAUAAUGACGGUACCUAUAGAAAAAGCCCCGGCUAACUCC
rnacentral:rRNA from 1 species